AGAGUUUGAUCCUGGCUCAGGAUGAACGCUAGCGGCAGGCCUAAUACAUGCAAGUCGAGGGGUAACAGGUGUAGCAAUACAUGCUGACGACCGGCGCACGGGUGCGUAACACGUAUAUAAUCUACCUUUUACUGGAGAAUAGCCCGAAGAAAUUUGGAUUAAUACUCCAUAAUAAUAUUGAGGGGCAUCUCUUGAUAUUUAAAGUUCAGACGGUAAAAGAUGAGUAUGCGCGAUAUUAGCUAGUUGGUGAGGUAACGGCUCACCAAGGCGACGAUAUCUAGGGGUACUGAGAGGUUACACCCCCACACUGGUACUGAGACACGGACCAGACUCCUACGGGAGGCAGCAGUAAGGAAUAUUGGACAAUGGUCGCAAGACUGAUCCAGCCAUGCCGCGUGCAGGAUGACUGCCCUAUGGGUUGUAAACUGCUUUUAUACGGGAAUAAACCCGGGUACGUGUACCCGGCUGAAUGUACUGUAAGAAUAAGGGUCGGCUAACUUCGUGCCAGCAGCCGCGGUAAGACGAAGGACCCAAGCGUUAUCCGGAUUCAUUGGGUUUAAAGGGUGCGUAGGCGGGUUGAUAAGUCAGUGGUGAAAGCCCAACGCUUAACGUUGGAACUGCCAUUGAUACUGUCGAUCUUGAAUGUGUUUGAUGUGGGCGGAAUAUGACAUGUAGCGGUGAAAUGCUUAGAUAUGUCAUAGAACACCGAUUGCGAAGGCAGCUCACAAAGCCACUAUUGACGCUGAGGCACGAAAGCGUGGGGAUCAAACAGGAUUAGAUACCCUGGUAGUCCACGCCGUAAACUUUGAUCACUCGCUGUUGGCGAUACACUGUCAGCGGCUAAGCGAAAGCGUUAAGUGAUCCACCUGGGGAGUACGGUCGCAAGACUGAAACUCAAAGGAAUUGACGGGGGCCCGCACAAGCGGUGGAGCAUGUGGUUUAAUUCGAUGAUACGCGAGGAACCUUACCAGGGCUUGAAAGUUAGCGACUUACCGUGAAAGCGGUGAUCCCUUCGGGGCGCGAAACUAGGUGCUGCAUGGCUGUCGUCAGCUCGUGCCGUGAGGUGUUGGGUUAAGUCCCGCAACGAGCGCAACCCCUACUUCUAGUUGCCAACAGGUAAUGCUGGGGACUCUAGAGGAACUGCCCGCGCAAGCGGUGAGGAAGGUGGGGACGACGUCAAGUCAUCACGGCCCUUACGUCCUGGGCUACACACGUGCUACAAUGGCGGAGACAACGGGCAGCUACACUGCGAAGUGAUGCUAAUCUCUAAACUCCGUCUCAGUUCGGAUUGAAGUCUGCAACUCGACUUCAUGAAGCUGGAAUCGCUAGUAAUCGCGUAUCAGCAAUGACGCGGUGAAUACGUUCCCGGGCCUUGUACACACCGCCCGUCAAACAAUGGAAGCUGGGAGUACCUAAAGUCAGUAGUCGCAAGACGCUGCCUAGGGUAAAACCGGUAACUGGUGUUAAGCC
rnacentral:rRNA from 1 species